CGACGGCAGCACGGGAGCAAUCCUGGUGGCGAGUGGCGAACGGGUGAGUAAUGUAUCGGAACGUACCUUUCAGUGGGGGAUAACGUAGCGAAAGUUACGCUAAUACCGCAUAUUCUGUGAGCAGGAAAGCAGGGGAUCGCAAGACCUUGCGCUGAUUGAGCGGCCGAUAUCAGAUUAGCUAGUUGGUGAGGUAAAGGCUCGCCAAGGCGACGAUCUGUAGCGGGUCUGAGAGGAUGAUCCGCCACACUGGAACUGAGACACGGUCCAGACUCCUACGGGAGGCAGCAGUGGGGAAUUUUGGACAAUGGGCGCAAGCCUGAUCCAGCCAUGCCGCGUGAGUGAAGAAGGCCUUCGGGUUGUAAAGCUCUUUCAGCCGGGAAGAAAACGCAUGGGUUAAUACCCUGUGUGGAUGACGGUACCGGAAUAAGAAGCACCGGCUAACUACGUGCCAGCAGCCGCGGUAAUACGUAGGGUGCGAGCGUUAAUCGGAAUUACUGGGCGUAAAGCGUGCGCAGGCGGUUUGUUAAGAUAGGCGUGAAAUCCCCGGGCUCAACCUGGGAACUGCGUUUAUGACUGGCAGGCUAGAGUAUGGCAGAGGGGGGUGGUAUUCCACGUGUAGCAGUGAAAUGCGUAGAGAUGUGGAGGAACACCGAUGGCGAAGGCAGCCCCCUGGGCCAAUACUGACGCUCAUGCA
rnacentral:rRNA from 1 species